rnacentral:rRNA from 1 species
GACGAACGCUGGCGGCGUGCUUAACACAUGCAAGUCGAACGGAAAGGCCCUGCUUUUGUGGGGUGCUCGAGUGGCGAACGGGUGAGUAACACGUGAGUAACCUGCCCUUUACUUUGGGAUAACUUCAGGAAACUGGGGCUAAUACCGGAUAGGAGCUCCUUCUGCAUGGUGGGUGUUGGAAAGUUUCGGCGGUUGGGGAUGGACUCGAGGCUUAUCAGCUUGUUGGUGGGGUAGUGGCUUACCAAGGCUUUGACGGGUAGCCGGACUGAGAGGGUGACCGGCCACAUUGGGACUGAGAUAGGGCCAAGAGUGCUACGGGAGGCAGCAGUGGGGAAUAUGGCAAAAUGGGCGGAAGCCUGAUGCAGCAACGCCGCGUGCGGGAUGACGGCUUUUGGGGUGUAAACCGCGUGCGCCUGUGACGAAGCGUGAGUGACGGUAAUGGGUAAAGAAGCAACGGCUAACUACGUG